GAAUUUUGGACAAUGGGGGCAACCCUGAUCCAGCCAUCCCGCGUGUACGAUGAAGGCCUUCGGGUUGUAAAGCACUUUUGGCAGGGAAGAAACGGCACGCCUUAAUAGGGGGUGUCACUGACGGUACCUGCAGAAUAAGCACCGGCUGACUACGUGCCAGCAGCCGCGGUAAUACGUAGGGUGCAAGCGUUAAUCGGAAUUACUGGGCGUAAAGCGUGCGCAGGCGGUUCGGAAAGAAAGAUGUGAAAUCCCAGAGCUUAACUUUGGAACUGCAUUUUUAACUCCCGAGCUAGAGUAUGUCAGAGGGGGGUAGAAUUCCACGUGUAGCAGUGAAAUGCGUAGAGAUGUGGAGGAAUACCGAUGGCGAAGGCAGCCCCCUGGGAUAAUACUGACGCUCAGGCACGAAAGCGUGGGGAGCAAACAGG
rnacentral:rRNA from 1 species